UACGGAGGAUGCAAGCGUUAUCCGGAAUGAUUGGGCGUAAAGCGUGCGCAGGCGGUUUUGUAAGACAGAUGUGAAAUCCCCGGGCUUAACCUGGGAACUGCAUUUGUGACUGCAAGACUAGAGUGCGGCAGAGGGGGGUAGAAUUCCACGUGUAGCAGUGAAAUGCGUAGAUAUGUGGAGGAAUACCGAUGGCGAAGGCAGCCCCCUGGGUCGACACUGACGCUCAUGCACGAAAGCGUGGGGAGCAAACAGG
rnacentral:rRNA from 1 species